rnacentral:rRNA from 1 species
UACGUAGGGUGCGAGCGUUAAUCGGAAUUACUGGGCGUAAAGCGUGCGCAGGCGGUUCGUUGUGUCGGCGGUGAGAUCCCCGGGCUCAACCUGGGAAUGGCCGUUGAAACUGGCGAACUGGAGUGUGGCAGAGGGGGGUGGAAUUCCGCGUGUAGCAGUGAAAUGCGUAGAGAUGCGGAGGAACACCGAUGGCGAAGGCAGCCCCCUGGGCUGACACUGACGCUCAGGCACGAAAGCGUGGGGAGCAAACAGG